GGAGAUGUAGCUCAGUGGUAAGAGCUCUUACCUGCUUAGCAUGCAUGAGGUUUUGGGUUCAAUCCCUAGCAUUACCA
rfam:Ictidomys tridecemlineatus contig085404, whole genome shotgun sequence.